rnacentral:rRNA from 1 species
UACGGAGGGUGCAAGCGUUAAUCGGAAUUACUGGGCGUAAAGCGUGCGUAGGCGGUUUGUUUAGUCAGAUGUGAAAGCCCCGGGCUCAACCUGGGAACUGCAUUUGAUACUGGCAGACUAGAGUAUGGUAGAGGGGGGUAGAAUUCCUGGUGUAGCGGUGAAAUGCGUAGAUAUGUGGAGGAAUACCGAUGGCGAAGGCAGCCCCCUGGGUCGAUACUGACGCUCAUGCACGAAAGCGUGGGGAGCAAACAGG